rnacentral:rRNA from 1 species
UACGGAGGGUGCAAACGUUGCUCGGAAUCAUUGGGCGUAAAGCGCACGUAGGCGGUCCUGUAAGUCGGGUGUGAAAUCCCUCGGCUUAACCAAGGAAGUGCAUUCGAAACUACAGGACUUGAGUACUGGAGAGGGUCGCGGAAUUCUCGGUGUAGAGGUGAAAUUCGUAGAUAUCGGGAGGAACACCAGUGGCGAAGGCGGCGACCUGGUCAGAUACUGACGCUGAGGUGCGAAAGCGUGGGGAGAAAACAGG